UUCAAAUCCAGAACUUUCAACUCUCUCUCUCUGCCGCAUUCUCUCUCUCUAAAACUCAUGAGUUCCGCACUUCUACACCAAACAAGACACAGGAAUUAUUAUUACCUUAGAGGAUUUCUUAGGGAGAAGAAUACUGGCGGUGGUUUUGGAAGGAGGAAGUAUCUUCUCCACCUAUACUCUGUUCAGAGAUGGAAUCGGGGUUUUAGAGAGAGAAAAUUGGUGGUUUAGCCCUAAUUUUUCACGAUUGAAGAACUGAACAACUAAAUAACUGUUCGCCGGCAAGGGGAUGCAGAAUCGUAGUUUUAGAGAGAGAAAAUCAGAACGUUUAAGCGAUUAUCGAUAUGACGUCUAGAUCUGGAUUGUGUAUUUUUUGUUGAUUUGUUUGAUUGUUUGAGUUGUGCUGUUUUUUAUUAGCUCUUUGAAUUAAUUGUUGAUAUAGUUUGGAAGGUAAAACUAAGUUAGAGGAAGAAUUAAAGCGAGCGGAUGUAGUUGUGUCGUUCUCAGAUCGACGCUUAAUUCAGGUUUUCAUCAACAUCUCUUUCUAAUUCGUUGCGUCUCAAAUUGACAGAUGAAUCCGCAUAUCAAUCUCAAUUAACUAGCCGUUGUUGUCAGCAAUUCCCUUUGUUAAAUUUGGUUAGACUUUUAAUUGGAUUAUAUCAUGUAGAUUUAUCAAUUGUUAAGUUUAGGAUACAUGUGUGUGAUGUGUUUGGAUAACUCAACGACAUUAGAUAGUUGAGGUGUAUGCUUCUGAAGAGGAUGGUUACUGGCAUGCCAAUGAGUCGAUGAAAGCUAAAUUGGCCAGAGAAGCGUUGUCCCAUCUACUAAAGUUGGUUGAGUCGAGGGUAUAUAAAAGGUAUCUGCUAUGAAAGUUUCAUCUUACUGAAACUUAUUAUUAGAUUUUGGGCUUCAUGCAGAUGCAGAAACGAUUAUUGCUUGUAUUUUAGUGCAAUUACUUAGUGUUCUCGUCAAUCAGAAGUGCUUUCCUCAUCAUAAUAGUAAAAUUGUGAAAAGUUAGUAAAGAUUUAAGUUGUUACAUAAGCCCAACUCUCCCAAAGCUAUAGCUAUUAUUAUAUCUUUCAGAAUGUGGGGUUACGUAAAAUUCGUUGAUAAUAUUGAUGCACAGGCUUAAUUUGAUGGUAGAUUCUCAAGAGUUCUCAAGAUUCUAUAGUUUUGUAUUCUUCAUUUGUCGUGAAAACGGUUAAAGAAGCAUCAGGUAAUUAUUGCUUGGAAAUUAGUAUUGUCUGGAAGAUUCAGAUUACUUAAUCAGUGGUGCAGCUUCUUUGAGAAUAAUCAGCGUCACAAUAUCUCUAAGGAUACACGGAGUCAAGUGUUGGCAUUUAGUCGCUGUGUACAUGAAAAUCUUGAAGGAUAUGAUCCCGAAGUUCACCUCUAGAAUUAAUUGCUUUGUUAUCUGAGUUCAAUGAAGCUGUUGAGUAGCUUGUACCAAAGAAAGGUUUUGCCAUCUCCUGUUGCACAGCAUGCUCUUCAUAGAGGUUUCCCUGCAGAUCUCAUUUUCACACCUGUUAAAGCCAGUGAGUUGCCUAUAAUCAGUGCUUACAAGCUCAAACAGAUAGCAUAAUCAGUGUCCAUGUCAUUAUUAUUGUAUCGUUACAUUCAGCCACGGGAGAGUGAGUUCAUCGAUUCACAGCGCGUUUGGGCUGAAUACGCUCUCAAGAGGCAGGAAGCUCAGUCGCAAAACAGGCGUUUAAAACUUGAAGAUUUGGAAGUGAGCUUUGCUUUUGCAUAUAUUAACAUGUGUUAAAGACUACUACAAGGAGCCAUAUCAUACGAUUGGCAUGGUUACAGGAAUAUGAUUUGCAGCCACAUCACAUUUGAGUACGCGUCUAUGUUUGAUACGCUUGCGAUGGAUCCAAAAAAGAAGAAGGAUAUAUUGGACGAUCUGAUUACGUUCAGCAAGUCUAAAGACUACUACAAGGAGCGGCAUCCGGAUUCGGAUUUGGACACCGCCACCUCAAGGUCAUGACCAUUUUCGGGCUGCUCUCCUUAGGGAUGAAAACGAGUCUAGGCAGGGUCGAGUAACUAACGGAAAAGGCGAG